UGUAGGUGGAGGUGGAGGUAUGUGACUGUAGGUGGAUGUAAAGAGGUAUGUGACUGUAGGUGGAGGUAUAGAGGUAUGGGACUGUAGGUGGAGGUAAAGAGGUAUGUGACUGUAGGUGGAGGUAUGUGACUGUAGGUGGAGGUAAAGAGGUAUGUGACUGUAGGUGGAGGUAAAGAGGUAUGUGACUGUAGGUGGAGGUAUAGAGGUAUGUGACUGUAGGUGGAGGUAAAGAGGUAUGUGACUGUAGGUGGAGGUAUGUGACUCUAAGUGGAGGUAAAGAGGUAUGUGACUGUAGGUGGAGGUAUGUGACUGUAGGUGGAGGUAAAGAGGUAUGUGACUGUAGGUGGAGGUAUGUGACUGUAGGUGGAGGUAUAGAGGUAUGUGACUGUAGGUGGAGGUAUAGAGGCAUGUGACUGUAGGUGGAGGUAUAGAGGCAUGUGACUGUAGGUGGAGGUAUAGAGGUAUGUGACUGUAGGUGGAGGUAUAGAGGCAUGUGACUAUAGGUGGAGGUAUAGAGGUAUGUGACUAUAGGUGGAGGUAUAGAGAUAUGUGACUG
ensembl:lncRNA